CAUUUCCAGCUUAAACAUCCCCUGGUGCAACUUGAGGCCAUUCCCUCUAUUCUUAUUGCUAGACAUCUGUGAGAAGAGGCUUACCCCCAGCUCCACACAACUUCCUUUCAAAUAGUUGUAGAGAGCAAUAAAGUCUCCCCUGAGCCUCCUCCAGACUAAACAACCUCAGUUCCCUCUGCUACUCCUCGUAGGACUUGUGUUCCAGAGCCCCUCUACAGUUUUG